rnacentral:piRNA from 1 species
UGGCUCUUGUGUCAAGUCAGGAGCAG